UGGGGAAUAUUGCACAAUGGAGGGAACUCUGAUGCAGCGACGCCGCGUGAACGAAGAAGGCUUUCGAGUCGUAAAGUUCUUUUAUAUGGGAAGAUAAUGACGGUACCAUAAGAAGAAGCCCCGGCUAACUACGUGCCAGCAGCCGCGGUAAUACGUAGGGGGCUAGCGUUGUCCGGAAUCACUGGGCGUAAAGGAUUCGCAGGCGGAAAUGCAAGUCAGGUGUAAAAGGCAGUAGCUUAACUACUGUAAGCAUUUGAAACUGCAUAUCUUGAGAAGAGUAGAGGUAAGUGGAAUUUUUAGUGUAGCGGUGAAAUGCGUAGAUAUUAAAAAGAAUACCGGUGGCGAAGGCGACUUACUGGGCUCAUUCUGACGCUGAGGAACGAAAGCGUACGUAGCAAACAGG
rnacentral:rRNA from 1 species